rnacentral:rRNA from 1 species
UACGUAGGGUGCAAGCGUUAUCCGGAAUGAUUGGGCGUAAAGCGUCUGUAGGUGGCUUUUAAGUCCGCCGUCAAAUCCCAGGGCUCAACCCUGGACAGGCGGUGGAAACUACCAAGCUGGAGUACGGUAGGGGCAGAGGGAAUUUCCGGUGGAGCGGUGAAAUGCGUAGAUCUUGGAAAGACCACCAAUGGCGAAGGCACUCUACUGGGCCAUGACUGACACUGAGAGACGAAAGCUAGGGGAGCAAAUGGG